AUUGAACGCUGGCGGCAUGCCUUACACAUGCAAGUCGAACGGCAGCAUGGGGGCAACCCUGGUGGCGAGUGGCGAACGGGUGAGUAAUACAUCGGAACGUGCCCAGUAGUGGGGGAUAGCCCGGCGAAAGCCGGAUUAAUACCGCAUACGACCUACGGGUGAAAGCGGGGGAUCGCAAGACCUCGCGCUAUCGGAGCGGCCGAUGUCAGAUUAGGUUGUUGGUGGGGUAAAAGCCCACCAAGCCGACGAUCUGUAGCUGGUCUGAGAGGACGACCAGCCACACUGGGACUGAGACACGGCCCAGACUCCUACGGGAGGCAGCAGUGGGGAAUUUUGGACAAUGGGCGCAAGCCUGAUCCAGCCAUGCCGCGUGCGGGAAGAAGGCCU
rnacentral:rRNA from 1 species